rnacentral:rRNA from 1 species
UACGGAGGGUGCAAGCGUUAUCCGGAUUCACUGGGUUUAAAGGGUGCGUAGGUGGUUUGAUAAGGGUGUGGUGAAAGCCCGGGGCUCAACCCCGGGUCUGCCGUGCCGACUGUCAAACUCGAGGGCUGUAGAGGCAGACGGAAUUCCGGGUGUAGCGGUGGAAUGCGUAGAGAUCCGGAGGAAGACCGGUGGCGAAGGCGGUCUGCUGGGCAGUUUCUGACACUGAUGCGCGACAGCGUGGGGAGCAAACAGG